rnacentral:rRNA from 1 species
UAGAAGACAUCUGAAGGAGAUUAAAGAUUUAUCGGUGAUGGAUGGGGAUGCGUCUGAUUAGCUUGUUGGCGGGGUAACGGCCCACCAAGGCUACGAUCAGUAGGGGUUCUGAGAGGAAGGCCCCCCACAUUGGAACUGAGACACGGUCCAAACUCCUACGGGAGGCAGCAGUGAGGAAUAUUGGUCAAUGGGCGAGAGCCUGAACCAGCCAAGUAGCGUGCAGGAUGACGGCCCUAUGGGUUGUAAACUGCUUUUAUAAGGGAAUAAAGUGAGUCUCGUGAGACUUUUUGCAUGUACCUUAUGAAUAAGGACCGGCUAAUUCCGUGCCAGCAGCCGCGGUAAUACGGAAGGUCCGGGCGUUAUCCGGAUUUAUUGGGUUUAAAGGGAGCGUAGGCCGGAGAUUAAGCGUGUUGUGAAAUGUAGACGCUCAACGUCUGCACUGCAGCGCGAACUGGUUUCCUUGAGUACGCACAAAGUGGGCGGAAUUCGUGGUGUAGCGGUGAAAUGCUUAGAUAUCACGAAGAACUCCGAUUGCGAAGGCAGCUCACUGGAGCGCAACUGACGCUGAAGCUCGAAAGUGCGGGUAUCGAACAGGAUUAGAUACCCUGGUAGUCCGCACGGUAAACGAUGGAUGCCCGCUGUUGGUCUGAAUAGGUCAGCGGCCAAGCGAAAGCAUUAAGCAUCCCACCUGGGGAGUAC